rnacentral:lncRNA from 1 species
UGUCACCUGACAGAGAAUGACAGAAGAGGUUGUCGGGGAGGAUGUGCAUGGCCCUGUGAUGGAGAUGAGGCAUGGAACUGAGGCCGGUCCGUCUCCGGCAUUCAUGUGCCACAGGGUGUCCUGUGGCCAGAAGACAGCUGAGGAAGCUGACUCUCUCCCUUCACCGUAUUUGGAAAAACAUCUGAAAGAACUGGUGAAAAUACCAGUUAAAGAUUUUUAAAGAAGAUGUCAUGCUUGGAUAACAAAACAAAACAAAA